UUCCGGUUGAUCCUGCCGGACCUGACUGCUAUCGGAUUGAUACUAAGCCAUGCUAGUCUUUGUAGUAAUACAAGGCAUACGGCUCAGUAACGCGUAGUCAACCUACCCUAUGGACGGGAAUAAUCUCGGGAAACUGAGCAUAAUACCCGGCAGACCACUUCUCCUGGAAUGGUUAGUGGUUAAAAUGAUUCGUCGCCAUAGGAUGGGACUGCGGCCUAUCAGCUUGUUGGUGAGGUAAUGGCCCACCAAGGCGAUUACAGGUACGGGCUCUGAGAGGAGAGGCCCGGAGAUGGGUACUGAGACAAGGACCCAGGCCCUAUGGGGCGCAGCAGGCGAGAAAACUUUGCAAUGUGCGAAAGCACGACAAGGUUAAUCCGAGUGAUUUCUGCUAAAGGAAUCUUUUGUUAGUUCUAAAAAUACUAGUGGAUAAGGGGUGGGCAAGUUCUGGUGUCAGCCGCCGCGGUAAAACCAGCACCUCAAGUGGUCAGGAGGAUUAUUGGGCCUAAAGCAUCCGUAGCCUGUUCUAUAAGUUUGCGGUUAAAUCUAUACGCUCAACGUAUAGGCUGCCGUAAAUACUGUAGAACUAGGGAGUGGGAGAGGUAGACGGUACUCGAUAGGAAGGGGUAAAAUCCUUUGAUCUAUUGAUGACCACCUGUGGCGAAGGCGGUCUACCAGAACAUGUUCGACGGUGAGGGAUGAAAGCUGGGGGAGCAAACCGGAUUAGAUACCCGGGUAGUCCCAGCCGUAAACGAUGCAGACUCGAUGAUGCAAUGGCAUAGAGCUAUUGCAGUAUCGCAGGGAAGCCGUUAAGUCUGCCGCCUGGGAAGUACGUACGCAAGUAUGAAACUUAAAGGAAUUGGCGGGGGAGCACCACAAGGGGUGAAGCCUGCGGUUCAAUUGGAAUCAACGCCGGA
rnacentral:rRNA from 1 species